GAUGAAGAACGUAGCGAAAUGCGAUACGUAAUGUGAAUUGCAGAAUUCAGUGAAUCAUCGAGUCUUUGAACGCACAUUGCGCCCCCUGGUAUUCCGGGGGGCAUGCCUGUCCGAGCGUCAUUGCUGCCCUCAAGCACGGCUUGUGUGUUGGGCCUCCGUCCUCCUCCCGGGGGACGGGCCCGAAAGGCAGCGGCGGCACCGCGUCCGGUCCUCGAGCGUAUGGGGCUUCGUCACCCGCUCUUGUAGGCCCGGCCGGCGCUUGCCGACACAUCAAUCUUUUUUCCAGGUUGACCUCGGAUCAGGUAGGGACACCCGCUGAACUUAAGCAUAUCAAUAAGCGGAGGA
rnacentral:misc_RNA from 1 species